GGCCUUUGGAGGACUAGACUGCUUAAAUCAUGAUGACCUUGAUGAUGAUGAUGAUGAUGAUGAUGAUGAUUCCUUGAGCAAUAUCUCCUCCUCUAUGUCUUUGGCAUUAGGAAGAGUGGAUAAAAAGGACACAUCUCCACCUGGACAGGAAGUGAGAAGCAAGGUCUAUUGGGACCAUGUACGCUCAUGAGAGGCUCCUUCAAAACGCUGUUCUCUCCCCUGAGUGCCAAAGCCAAGUCCACAGGACCGAAGACACAUGGAUGAAAAAACUACAAUGAUCUGAAUCAGCACACACAAAAAUCUCUGCAACUCCCAACCUCUUUCAAUUUCCUUCCAGCUUCUUCCAGCUUUUCCUAGUCACCAAGCCUUUCAUGCCACAACCCUUUGGUUGUCCUGCACCUACCUGGCCACGACACCUUCUGCCAGGAAACAGCCACUCUUGCACAUGUGCAUUGCAGUGUGGAUUCUCAGGGUGCACCUGCAGCCAAUGUAAAGGGUAA
rnacentral:lncRNA from 10 species